CAGAGAGGGGCUGGAGGUUGGAUCAAAUGACAAUGGCCAAUGAUUUUAUCUAUCAGGCCUACGUAAUGAAGCCUCCAUAUAAACCCCAAAGGACUCGGUUUGGAGAGCUUCCAGGCUGGUGCACACGUGAAGAUGUUGGACAAACAUCACAAUGACCAGUACCAAGCUUUAAUCGUACUUAGCAGAGAUUAGAAGGUGGGGAUUUGGCAAGAUCAAAAGCACUGGACAGCUGUUGAAUCAUAAAAGCCAAUUACCCGAUAGAGGGGAGAAAGUCUCUUCAGCUAUUGGUGCCUUGUGAUUUACGUGGACCUCUAUUAAUGCUAAUGGAAG